GUGCUCAGUUUGGCAGCACAUAUACUAAAAUUGGAACAAUACAGAGAAGAUUAGCAUGACCUCUGCACAAGGAUGACAUGCAAAUCUGUGAAGCAUUCCAUAUUUUU
rnacentral:snRNA from 1 species